GCUCGCAUCUAAAAGAUGUCUUCCCAUCAGCAGAUGUGUCCCUCUGCCCUUCCUGGCUGACUGGGGUAGGGGGUGGGGGGUGUUUGCUGAGUACAAAGCUCUAGUGGAGGAAGAAUGGGUUGGAGCCAGCACCGUGCACGACAGGGGCAGAUGCUUCAUCCCUCUUUCUAUUGGCUUAGUCCACGGCCCCUCCCCUCAGGGCAAAGGAAUAAACGACCUCUUCUUUUCCUACCUCUUGUCUCGUUCACACCUACUCCUACUGUGGCUUUCGGGGACCCAAAGGCCUGUCUUUCCGAUUGUCUGCCUCCUCCCGCGUGCUUUCAGUUGUCACUGCCCACCCUUCGGCUUUCUGCGGAGGAGGGGCCCUUGGCGAGGAGGGAUGAAGUCCCCUCGCCCUCCAAAAAUGAUCUAACUCCAGGCGUGGCAACACUUCCUGCUCUGAGGGCCAGAGGGAGGGGUCCGGUACCAGCGCCCCUCGCCCCGGGGUCUGCAGCAGACGAGGCUGGCUGUGCUCCUCACACGCGUCUCCCUGUCAUCCCGUGGUCCUCUCCUAAACGGGAGAGGCGUGCGCUGUGGCAGGCCGGGCCUGGAAGCCUGGCUCCCAACUUCCCACAAGAUGGCCUCGUCACGUGACCUCUGGACUUUGGCUUCUCACCUGUGAAUGUAGGAUAUUAAAGGGUCAGGUUCUCCAACAAAAGAAUCCAGUCCAGCGCCAAGUCUUCGCCCUGGGGGCUAAGCACCGCUGGAUUAUGGAGCAAAAGUGGAAGCUGUUUGUCGGUUUAAACUUUGCCGAACACCUUCUCAGUGCUGGUGGAGCUGAACUCCCCGCGGGCUGUCGGAAGCUAAGGUCUCCCACCCUUGAAGCAGCCGCAGUAUGGCCAGCCACACCGGGAGGCGGUACUGGACCGCCUGGGCCUGCAAACACCCGCAGGCUCGAAGGUUCCCACCUGGCAGGACCCUCCAGCGUUCUCCAGUCGGGAGAGGCGCUGGUCUCCUGGGGCGCGUCCAGCACUGGGAUUCCUGGUGGCCACGAGGCCACACCGAGGAUCCGAUCACGAGGCCCACCUAGUCGGCCGGGGCUGGCCAGGG
rnacentral:lncRNA from 1 species